UACGAAGGGGGCUAGCGUUGCUCGGAAUCACUGGGCGUAAAGGGUGCGUAGGCGGGUCUUUAAGUCAGGGGUGAAAUCCUGGAGCUCAACUCCAGAACUGCCUUUGAUACUGAAGAUCUUGAGUUCGGGAGAGGUGAGUGGAACUGCGAGUGUAGAGGUGAAAUUCGUAGAUAUUCGCAAGAACACCAGUGGCGAAGGCGGCUCACUGGCCCAUUACCGACGCUGAGGCACGAAAGCGUGGGGAGCAAACAGG
rnacentral:rRNA from 1 species